rnacentral:rRNA from 1 species
UACGUAGGGUGCAAGCGUUGUCCGGAAUUAUUGGGCGUAAAGAGCUCGUAGGCGGCCUGUCGCGUCGGCUGUGAAAACCCGAGGCUCAACCUCGGGCCUGCAGUCGAUACGGGCAGGCUAGAGUUCGGUAGGGGAGACUGGAAUUCCUGGUGUAGCGGUGAAAUGCGCAGAUAUCAGGAGGAACACCGGUGGCGAAGGCGGCAUCCUGGACCGAGAUUGACGCUGAACGGCGAAAGCUAGGGGAGCAAACGGG